rnacentral:rRNA from 1 species
GAUGAACGCUGGCGGCGUGCUUAACACAUGCAAGUCGAACGGAAAGGCCCAAGCUUGCUUGGGUACUCGAGUGGCGAACGGGUGAGUAACACGUGGGUGAUCUGCCCUGCACUUCGGGAUAAGCCUGGGAAACUGGGUCUAAUACCGGAUAGGACCACAUUUUGGAUGGUGUGGUGGAACGUUUUUCGGUGUGGGAUGAGCUCGCGGCCUAUCAGCUUGUUGGUGGGGUAAUGGCCUACCAAGGCGUCGACGGGUAGCCGGCCUGGGAGGGUGUACGGCCACAGUGGGACUGAGAUACGGCCCAGACUCCUACGGGAGGCAGCAGUGGGGAAUAUUGCACAAUGGGCGCAAGCCUGAUGCAGCGACGCCGCGUGGGGGAUGACGGCCUUCGGGUUGUAAACUCAUUUCGCUAGGGACGAAGCGCAAGUGACGGUACCUGGAGAAGAAGCACCGGCUAACUACGUG